GGCCCGAACCCGUUGGUGGUGCAAUACCAUGGGAUGAGCUGUGGGUAGGGGUGAAAUGCCAAUCGAACGCGGAGAUAGCUGGUUCUCCCCGAAAUGCAUGUCAGUGCAGCCUCGGGCGCAUGGUGAUGGGGGUAGAGCACUGGAUGGCGCUAGGGACCAUACCCGGCACCCGAACCCAACCAAACUCCGAAUACCAUCACCGGAAACCCGGGAGUGAGGCGAUGGGGGAUAAGCUCCAUUGCCAAGAGGGAAACAACCCAGACCGCCGGCUAAGGCCCCUAAGUGCGGGCUCAGUGAGCAAAAGGAUGUGGGACGGCGAAGACGCCCGGGAUGUUGGCUUGAGAGCAGCCAUCGUCCAAGGAGUGCGUAAUAGCACACCGGGGGAGUCGCCCUGCGCCGAAAAUUCACGGGUCUUAAGUCCGCCGCCGAAGCCGCGGGACUCGUAAUACGUGACAGACACACUCCGUUGAGGAGAUCUGGGCCGGGUGAGGCGGGUGAUGACGAGCUUGCGGCUGCCGGCCCCCUUUUUCGGGGAGGAGCGCAUGACGUAUUACGAGUCGGUAGGGGAGCGUUCCGUCGUAGGGUGAAGCGCGUGUGAAAACACGCGUGGACGAAACGGAAGUGCGAAUGCCGGUAUGAGUAGCGUUGCAGGGGUGAGAAUCCCCUCCGCCGAAAGCCUAAGGUUUCCUAUGCCGCAAUGUUCGUCAGCGGCGGGUUAGGCGGGCCUAAGCCGAGGCCGAAAGGCGUAGGCGAUGGAUAGCCGGUCACAUUCCGGCCCCACCAGGGGCAAGGUGGACCACAGGGCACAAUGCCAGGCGGCCCUCCCGGGAAACCGGGAUAUCCGCAGCCUCGCAGCGCCCUCACUGCUCUCGCCAGAGUCUGCCAGAACACGCGGGGAGUAUCCCUGCCAUGGGCUGGCGGAUGAACCAGGCGAGGGCUAUCCCGCGGGGACGUGGGACCGUCCUUCCGGGGGGCGGCUGGUAGCCCACCCGGCAGGACCUAACCGCCAAGAAAAGCCGCGGGAGGAACCCCCUGGUGCCCGUACCUCAAACCGACACAGGUAGGCGAGGAGAGUAUCCUCAGGCGCGCGGGAGAACCCUCGUUAAGGAACUCGGCAAAUUGGCCCCGUAACUUCGGGAGAAGGGGCGCUCCACCCUCUCAACACACCCCAGCGCGGGUUGUGGGAGGACGAGGAGCCGCAGGAAAACGGCCUGGGCGACUGUUUACAAAAAACACAGGUCUCUGCUAAGUCGCAAGAAAGACGACGUAUAGGGGCCGACGCCUGCCCAGCGCCAGGACCUAAGGGGAUGGGUUCGCGAAACCCAUCGCGGGCUCUGAACCGAAACCCUGGUUAGCGGCGGCCGCGACAGGAAGCGGUCCGAAGGUAGCAAGAUUCCUUGACAGCUAAAUACUGUCCUGCUCCAAUGGCGUCACGACCCAGGCGCUGUCUCAACGAGGGACCCGGCGAAAUUGCGAUAUCGGUGAACAUGCCGAUGACCCGCGGUGGGAUGGAGAGACCCCGUGGAGCUUUACCGCAGCUAGCUGUUGGGUGCGGCUGAAUGAUGAAGAGAUCUAGGUGGGAGCCCGAUGUCGUCUCUGCCUGCGCGUCAAGCGCGCGGGUAGGCGUGAGUGAUGGGCAGAAGUGGAAUACCACCCUUCGUUCGGCGCGUGUCCUCAUCGCCCCUGUGCAGGGGGCGAGACCGCGGCUGGUGAGCGGUUCCGGCUGGAUCGGCAUCCUCCCAAAAAGUAACGGAGGAGACCAAAGGUCGCCUCAGCCUGGUUGGAAAUCAGGCAGUGACUUGCAAAGGGAUAAGGCGGCUUGACUGUGAGAGCGACGGCUCGAGCAGGUGCGAAAGCAGGGCUUAUCGACACGAUGGUACCUCGUGGGAGGGCCAUCGGACAACGGGUACAAGCUCCCCGGGAAUACAGGGCUCACCUCGCCCGAGAGAUCCCAUCGACGGCGAGACGUGGCGCCUCGUUGCCGGCUCAUCCCAUCCUGGGGCUGAAGCAGGUCCCAAGGGUUGGACUUCUCGUCCAUGAAAGGGGUCUGUGAGCUGGGAAUAGACCGUCGUGAGACAGGUCGUGUCCUAUCCACCGUGGGCGUGGGAGACUUGAGAGGGUCUGCCCCCAGUACGAGAGGACCGGGGCGGGCGGACCACCGGUGUAUCUGUUGUGCCGCCAGGCGCACCGCAGAGUAGCUGACGUCCGUUACGGAUAAGCGCUGAAAGCAUCUAAGCGCGAAGCCGGCCUCAAGACAAUAGGUCUCCAUUCAGGCCCCUGGUAGACCACCAGGUUGAUAGACCGGAGGUGUAAGGGUCGCGAGGCCUUUAGCUAACCGGCACUAAUCGGCCGAAAACAUGAGACG
rnacentral:rRNA from 1 species